AGUCGACGAACCGAGGGGCUGUUGAUCGGGUUUUGGAAGGGUUCGUCCCGGAAGAGCCCGUGAGGUUCCUUGGUUAGUGGCGAACGGGUGAGUAACACGUAGGUGACCUGCCCCGAAGAGGGGGAUAACCACUGGAAACGGUGGCUAAUACCCCAUGUGAUCAUGCAUUCGGUUGUGGGAUUAAAGGCUUCGGCGCUUCGGGAGGGGCCUGCGGCCUAUCAGCUAGUUGGUAGGGUAAUGGCCUACCAAGGCUAUGACGGGUAGCUGGUCUGAGAGGACGGUCAGCCACACUGGCACUGAGACACGGGCCAGACUCCUACGGGAGGCAGCAGUGAGGGAUAUUGCGCAAUGGGGGAAACCCUGACGCAGCAACGCCGCGUGGGCGAAGAAGGUCUUCGGAUCGUAAAGCCCUUUUCUCCCGGACGAGGAAGGACGGUACGGGAGGAAUAAGUGUCGGCUAACUACGUGCCAGCAGCCGCGGUAAAACGUAGGACGCAAGCGUUAUCCGGAUUUAUUGGGCGUAAAGCGCGUCUAGGCGGCGUCUUAAGUUGGGCGUGAAAUCUUCCGGCUCAACCGGAAGGGGCCGUCCAAUACUGGGACGCUUGAGGGCAGCAGGGGGAGGUGGAAUUCCCGGUGUAGCGGUGGAAUGCGUAGAUAUCGGGAGGAACACCAGUGGCGAAGGCGGCCUCCUGGGCUGUACCUGACGCUGAAGCGCGAAAGCGUG
rnacentral:rRNA from 1 species